UGGCGGCCCCCACCCACGAGGCUGCCCCGCGCCAGCUUCUGCAGCUCGACGGGCACCACGGCGCUGGGGCAGUGCUUCUCGAUGUAGUCCUGGAAUCCCUGCACUCCCAUGCGAGCGCCUGCCUUGGCUGCCAGCAUGCUCCUACAAACCUCCCAGCCUGCACAGAGCAGCAGAGCUGAACUCGUGCCAGGAAAGUGCUUGUCUCCUAAGAGAGCUCUGCAUGGCUCAAUUAUGGAAGAGAAAAUGGUGCAAAAAACCUGUGUCAGAGGAAGAAUGACAGAACUAGCCCACUUCAACAUCUCACAUAGAUGAAAAAUAGCUCAUAAUUAAAUACAGGAUGGAAGCUUGUCUAAACUGGCAUCUGCUGCAUAUUCCAACAAUUACAAACAUACCUGAAACCAGACAUUGUUUGACUCUGGAGUAACCUUGUUUUCAUCUAGUAAGGGAAGUGGUUCCCAGAUCAGGACGAUACAUGAAGAAAGCAUGCAGAUAAGGCAUCGUUUGCCCAAACAUGUCAUCAGAAACUGACUUCCUAAAGGAACAGGAGGGAGAGUCCCCACGCCAGGACAGCCAGGGCACACCAGUCAUCCACAUCCCAUCCCCGCUUCAGCUCUGGACCCUGUCUCCUGAACCCCAGGUCA